rnacentral:rRNA from 1 species
UACGAGGGGGGCAAGCGUUGUUCGGAAUUAUUGGGCGUAAAGGGCGCGUAGGCGGUUUGACAAGUCUGAUGUGAAAUCUAUGGGCUCAACCCCAUAGCCUGCAUUAGAAACUGUCGGGCUUGAGUAUGGGAGAGGUGAGUGGAAUUUCCGGUGUAGCGGUGAAAUGCGUAGAUAUCGGAAGGAACACCUGUGGCGAAAGCGGCUCACUGGACCAUAACUGACGCUGAGGCGCGAAAGCUAGGGGAGCAAACAGG